rnacentral:rRNA from 1 species
UGCCAGCCGCCGCGGUAAUACGGAGGGUGCAAGCGUUAAUCGGAAUUACUUGGCAUAAAGCGCGCGUAGGUGGUUGGGUAAGCGAGAUGUGAAAGCCCCGGGCUUAACCUGGGAACGGCAUUUCGAACUGCUCGACUAGAGUGUGGUAGAGGGUAGUGGAAUUUCCUGUGUAGCGGUGAAAUGCGUAGAUAUAGGAAGGAACACCAGUGGCGAAGGCGGCUACCUGGACCAACACUGACACUGAGGUGCGAAAGCGUGGGGAGCAAACAGGAUUAGAUA